rnacentral:rRNA from 1 species
UACGGGGGGGGCAAGCGUUGUUCGGAAUUACUGGGCGUAAAGGGCUCGUAGGCGGCCAACUAAGUCAGACGUGAAAUCCCUCGGCUUAACCGGGGAACUGCGUCUGAUACUGGAUGGCUUGAGUGUGGGAGAGGGAUGCGAAAUUCCAGGUGUAGCGGUGAAAUGCGUAGAUAUCUGGAGGAACACCGGUGGCGAAGGCGGCAUCCUGGACUACUACUGACGCUGAGUGAGCGAAAGCCAGGGGAGCAAACGGG